rnacentral:lncRNA from 1 species
UUCCCAUCACCUGUACAGAACCCCUCUAUAACUCCGGCGCUCUGCUCUGCAUCUAGAACUCUGCACCAAGCACAACAUUGGCCCACUCGCCUGGUUGCAUAGCAUCAUCUGGCUGCCUCUCUCCACCGGCUGCUGUCCCUUUCAUGAGCAACCACUGGGACAUCACUGAUCUGCUGCUAUCGCUGUAGAAACAUCAGCGCCUUCUCCUUUAGUUUCGUAGUGCCUCUUCUCAAUUCAUCACCCCUGCAAGAGGAGGUGGCCAUCAAGCGAACACAGCCCAGCCAUCUCCCAUUCGGUAGAGAACUGCUGCAGCUCUCUAACCUCUACCGCACUAUAGCUUUCCCUCUCCCACUGAUCGCUGCUCCAGAGAUCGACGGUGGAGCACUCCUGGAGGUGAUCGCCGCCUACCUUGUCACCGCCGCUUGAGGCCCAGCCUUUGACAGAACUGCAAUCCGC